CUGCUGCCUCCCGUAGGAGUUUGGACCGUGUCUCGGUUCCAAUGUGGGGGACCUUCCUCUCAGAACCCCUACGCAUCGUCGGCUUGGUGGGCCGUUGCCCCACCAACUACCUAAUGCGCCGCAUGCCCAUCCGUGACCGGGGUCGCCCCCUUUGGCCGGCAGGGGAUGUCCCCUCCCGGCAUUAUGUUGUAUUAGGCGGGAUUUCUCCCGGUUAUCCAUCUGUCACGGCCAGGUUGCAUACGUGUUACUCACCCGUGCGCCGGUCGCCGGCGG
rnacentral:rRNA from 1 species